rnacentral:lncRNA from 1 species
CUAACGAACUGGUGCUCCAAUUUGAGGGACUCGGUGAGCUGGGCCAGCCGGGUGGUGGGUGCAGUGGGAGCGGCGGCGGCGGCGGUGGCGGGAGGGACGGCGGGGGAGGAGGAGGCGUCGCCGUUGGGUGCGGAGUCGAUAUCCAUGUCCAUGUCGCCGCCCAGGAGGGAUAAGGGGAGGGAAGAAGAUGGUGGAUCGACGGGGAAAUGGGGAGGGAAGACGGUGACGACGGUCUAAUGGCGGUCGAGACGGG